GAUGAACGCUGGCGGCGUGCCUAAUACAUGCAAGUCGAGCGAACGGACGAGAAGCUUUCUUCUCUGAUGUUAGCGGCGGACGGGUGAGUAACACGUGGAUAACCUACCUAUAAGACUGGGAUAACUUCGGGAAACAGGAGCUAAUACCAGAUAAUAUUUUGAACCGCAGGGUUCAAAAGAGAAAGACGGUCUUGCUGUCACUUAUAGAUGGAGCCGCGCUGCAUUAGCUAGUUGGUAAGGUAACGGCUUACCAAGGCAACGAUGCAUAGCCGACCUGAGAGGGUGAUCGGCCACACUGGAACUGAGACACGGUCCAGACUCCUACGGGAGGCAGCAGUAGGGAAUCUUCCGCAAUGGGCGAAAGCCUGACGGAGCAACGCCGCGUGAGUGAUGAAGGUCUUCGGAUCGUAAAACUCUGUUAUUAGGGAAGAACAUAUGUGUAAGUAACUGUGCACAUCUUGACGGUACCUAAUCAGAAAGCCCCGGCUAACUACGUG
rnacentral:rRNA from 1 species